AGUGAACGCUGGCGGUAGGCCUAACACAUGCAAGUCGAACGGCAGCACAGGAGAGCUUGCUCUCUGGGUGGCGAGUGGCGGACGGGUGAGGAAUACAUCGGAAUCUGCCCAGUCGUGGGGGAUAACGUAGGGAAACUUACGCUAAUACCGCAUACGACCUUCGGGUGAAAGAGGGGGAUAGCAAGACCUCUCGCGAUUGGAUGAGCCGAUGUCGGAUUAGCUAGUUGGCGGGGUAAUGGCCCACCAAGGCGACGAUCCGUAGCUGGUCUGAGAGGAUGAUCAGCCACACUGGAACGGAGACACGGUCCAGACUCCUACGGGAGGCAGCAGUGGGGAAUAUUGGACAAUGGGCGCAAGCCUGAUCCAGCCAUACCGCGUGGGUGAAGAAGGCCUUCGGGUUGUAAAGCCCUUUUGUUGGGAAAGAAAUCUUUCAGGCUAAUACCCUGGGAGGAUGACGGUACCCAAAGAAUAAGCACCGGCUAACUUCGUG
rnacentral:rRNA from 1 species